rnacentral:rRNA from 1 species
UACGUAGGGUGCGAGCAUUGUCCGGAAUUAUUGGGCGUAAAGAGCUUGUAGGCGGUUUGUCGCGUCUGCUGUGAAAAUCCGGGGCUCAACCCCGGACUUGCAGUGGGUACGGGCAGACUAGAGUGUGGUAGGGGAGACUGGAAUUCCUGGUGUAGCGGUGAAAUGCGCAGAUAUCAGGAGGAACACCGAUGGCGAAGGCAGGUCUCUGGGCCACUACUGACGCUGAGAAGCGAAAGCAUGGGGAGCGAACAGG